UGCAGGAUCAGCCGCCCGUCUCCUUGUCUUUGGAACCCCAUUGUUGAUUCAGAUUCAGUUUGAAACCUUCAAUUCAUCUUGCAAAUUCAGUGCUUGUUUCCUCGUUCUUGCUAGUUCUUCGAUUGCUUGCAGGACGGGAGCCCUAGGGGCUGGUUGUCGCGCUCCACAAGAUCGUGACGGCUCUUGGACGUGGUGUAUCGGUUGCUAAGGCGCAGUCUUGAGGGCUGUAGUCGGGCCGUGAACGUCAUCUCCAUCCACUAAUCGAGUUAUCCAGCGCCUCUCAUCGAAAGAUCAGGCCAAAAACCCUAGCGGGUUCGCAUC
rnacentral:lncRNA from 1 species